GUCGAGGGGCAGCAGGUUUGUAGCAAUACAGAUGCUGGCGACCGGCAAACGGGUGCGGAACACGUACACAACCUUCCUUUAAGUGGGGAAUAGCCCAGAGAAAUUGGAUUAAUACCCCGUAACAUUUGAUGUGGCAUCACAUUAUAAUAUAGCUCAGGCGCUUAAUGAUGGGUGUGCGGCUGAUAGAUAGUUGGCGGGGUAACGGCCCACCAAGUCUGCGAUCAGUAACUGGUGUGAGAGCACGACCAGUCACACGGGCACUGAGACACGGGCCCGACUCCUACGGGAGGCAGCAGUAAGGAAUAUUGGGCAAUGGAGGCAACUCUGACCCAGCCAUGCCGCGUGGAGGAUGAAGGCCCUCUGGGUUGUAAACUUCUUUUAUUUGGGACGAAAAAGGGCUUUUCUAAGUCAACUGACGGUACCAGAUGAAUAAGCACCGGCUAACUCCGUGCCAGCAGCCGCGGUAAUACGGAGGGUGCAAGCGUUAUCCGGAUUCACUGGGUUUAAAGGGUGCGUAGGUGGGUUGGUAAGUCAGUGGUGAAAUCCCCGAGCUUAACUUGGGAACUGCCAUUGAUACUAUCAGUCUUGAAUAUUGUGGAGGUCAGCGGAAUAUGUCAUGUAGCGGUGAAAUGCUUAGAUAUGACAUAGAACACCAAUUGCGAAGGCAGCUGGCUACACAUAUAUUGACACUGAGGCACGAAAGCGUGGGGAUCAAACAGGAUUAGAUACCCUGGUAGUCC
rnacentral:rRNA from 1 species